GGAGGAGCCGUUUUUACGUUAGUUUGAGGGCCACACAGCUGUGGACCUGGGCAGGGCAAUUCCUUUUGUUGUUUGAGGGCCGCACUGCUGUGGACCUGGUCAGGAGCAGUUUUUUUUUGUUGUUUGAGGGCCGCACAUCUGUGGACCUGGGCAGGAGCAGUUCUUUUUGUUGUUUGAGGUUC